GAUUCCCUCAGUAACGGCGAGCGAAGCGGGAAAAGCCCAGACCAAAAUCUGCAGGUCUUUGGCCUGUCAGAGCUGUGGUCUUUGAGCCGGGGAUAUGCCGGCGGUGCCAGCUCUCUCAAGUUCCUUGGAAUGGGGCCUCCCACAGAGGGUGCUAGGCCUGUAGGUGGGGAGUUGGCUCGUCGGCGCUUCCACGGCCUUAGAGUCGGGUUGUUUGGGAAUGCAGCCCAAAGUCGGUGGUAUGCUCCAUCUAAGGCUAAAUACCAGCACGAGUCCGAUAGCGAACAAGUACCGUGAGGGAAAGUUGAAAAGUACUUUGAAGAGAGAGUUAAAGAGUACGUGAAACCUGUAAGAAGCAAACGGAUGAGGCCACGUUAGGCGCGUCGGCAUUCAGGUUCGCCGUCCCGGUGCGGCGCGGGGGCUGUGCAGCGGUCUCGUACCGUUGCCGUCUCUGCGUCAGCUGGGCUGCGUGCUGCACUUGCCGGCGCGUCCGUGUGGGGGACCGGUUGUCGACGGACGAGCAAGCUCGCGGCGUAGGUAGCUCCGCCCUCGGGUGGAGUGUUACAGGCCGCGAGUGGGUGCCCGCUGGCGACCGAGGACGGAAGGUCUCCCCUUGUCUGGUGUCUCUGCCGAC
rnacentral:rRNA from 1 species